rnacentral:tRNA from 1 species
GGGGCGGUAGCUCAGUGGUAGAGUGGAAGAUUGCAAUAUACGGCCUAUCAUUGGUCGCUUAACAUUGCAAGCUAUCUUUAGGUCGCCGGUUCGAUCCCGGCCCGUCCCU